UUAAAAAGCUCGUAGUUGAACCUUGGGCCUGGCUGGCCGGUCCGCCUCACCGCGUGCACUGUGCCGGCCGGGCCUUUCCCUCUGUGGAACCUCAUGCCCUUCACUGGGUGUGGCGGGGAAACAGGACUUUUACUUUGAAAAAAUUAGAGUGCUCCAGGCAGGCCUAUGCUCGAAUACAUUAGCAUGGAAUAAUAAAAUAGGACGCGUGGUUCUAUUUUGUUGGUUUCUAGGACCGCCGUAAUGAUUAAUAGGGACAGUCGGGGG
rnacentral:rRNA from 1 species